CUGACAUCCAACAAAAAAUUACUUGUCAUGCAAAGAGGCAGGAAAAUGUGACCAUCAAUCAGGACAAAAACUUAGAGUCACGAAUAUAUUGUAUGCUAAAGGAAUAGCCACUGGAGAGGUUAAAGAAAUAGGAGAAAGAAGAUAACUGAAAGAGAAAGUAGUCUGAAG
rnacentral:lncRNA from 1 species